rnacentral:rRNA from 1 species
AUUGAACGCCGGCGGCAGGCUUAACACAUGCAAGUCGAGCGGGGGGAGGUAGCUUGCUACCUAACCUAGCGGCGGACGGGUGAGUAAUGCUUAGGAAUCUGCCUAUUAGUGGGGGACAACAUUUCGAAAGGGAUGCUAAUACCGCAUACGCCCUAAGGGGGAAAGCAGGGGAUCUUCGGACCUUGCGCUAAUAGAUGAGCCUAAGUCGGAUUAGCUAGUUGGUGGGGUAAAGGCCUACCAAGGCGACGAUCUGUAGCGGGUCUGAGAGGAUGAUCCGCCACACUGGGACUGAGACACGGCCCAGACUCCUACGGGAGGCAGCAGUGGGGAAUAUUGGACAAUGGGGGGAACCCUGAUCCAGCCAUGCCGCGUGUGUGAAGAAGGCCUUUUGGUUGUAAAGCACUUUAAGCGAGGAGGAGGCUACCGAGAUUAAUACUCUUGGAUAGUGGACGUUACUUGCGGAAUAAGCACCGGCUAACUCUGUGCCAGCCGCCGCCGUAAUAC